CAUCCCCUUUAAGCUUUGCCCUCUUGAGGCUCUUGAUGCCUUUAGUGGCCAUUAUUGAGGGGUAAAUCAUGGUCCUCUCUUAAAGGACCACUGGGUCAGUGGUCUCACCACUCACUCUGGACCUGUCGGGAGGAACAAGA
rnacentral:snoRNA from 1 species